GAUACAUAUAUGAAUGCCUGCCAGAAGAAGAGAAAGGUAUUUGGCUGCAAAUCAGUUUUAUGUCAAACUGCACAUAAAUAUGAUCAAGUACUUGUUGUCUUUUUACAGGCAGGGAGAGCAGGAGAAGGUGUUGUGAUACAUAUAUGAAUGCCCGCCAGAAGAAGAGAAAGGUGUUUGGCUGCAAGUAAUUGUGUUCGCAGGUUGUCCAUAUCACCGGCACUAAGGGGAAAUGUUCGACUGCCGCUUUCCUGUCUAAUAUCAUGAGGGAGCAAGCAUUAACUGUGGGCUGCUAUUCCAGUCCACACCUUUUAACAAUCCGAGAGCGCAUCACCUGUUUCAGCUGCAUCUUUGAGGGAUCUUUUUGAUCUGGCCAAGGAAGCUAUUGAUGAAUCAAUCGAAUCAGAAAAUGGAUCCCUGGCAAACUUUGAGGUAUAUUUUUCAAAGUUAUUUUUAGGUUGCAGGGUUGGUUUUUGCUUUAAUAAAAUGAUGAUGAUGUGUACUCAGAUAUGUUUUUUGUAUGUCCCCGAAUGGGAGCCUAUACAAUACCAAUAAACGAUAAGCAUAACAGGAAAAAUAGCAAAGGUACUAUCGUUUUUCCUUCAAUAGUUUGCAUCUCACAACAUUGAACAUUACAGGUUGGAAAAGGAGUGAUCUUCCGUUAUCUCAUAUUAAUUCAUUCAAUAAUAAUGACAAAAUAAAUGAUAAAUUAGAGAUGCACUGAUGGUUUGCUCAUGUAGUCCGUGUGAUUAUAUAUCUACCUUGUAUUGUAUCUCUUUAGAAGCAGCGGAAACUGGGAAGAAAAUUGUAUGACACAAGAAGAGAUACUUCUAGAAGCAGCGGAAACAGCGAUUAUGAGCACAACAAAUCUUGAAGCAUGUGCUGUCAAGAGAGGAGGAAGUGAAGAAAAAGGUUAUUGUUCAGAAAACCAUUUAUGAGGAUCCUACGGUUCGAUUUUACUUGAUAGAUGGUAACUGCUCUAUACCUAAAUAGUGGAGUAAUCAACUACAUUUUUUUGCACUCCCCGUUUCAUUAUAUGAAUCUGUGUCCUACAUGUGCAUAUUAUGAAUUAUCAGACUUCUAAAUUAACAGAAUUUCAUCUUGAAUUCAUCAAUGUGGCAUCAUUUUGGACUACUCUUCUUAACUGAGACCAAAUAUAAAUGCCCUAGAUGCCUUAACACUAGGAUGACAUAAUCCUUUCAGCAUCUAACAGUUAUUACAAAAAAAACUGAGAAAACUCCAGUUAUCGUGAAGAAUGGAUGCGUCUCUCAUGGAGAUAUUUGUAUUUCGAAGGAAUUCAGAUUUCACAAGAGAACCAAGCACAUCAAGAGACGCUUCAAUUCCAUCCGGGAUCUAGUCCAGGUGGGAGACAUAGAGAUUUGCAAGAUACAUACGGAUCUAAA